CUCAAUUUUCUCUCUUCUCAUCCUCCACCAGUCGCUCCAAAAUGGAUGUGCGCCGGCGACCUACCUCUGGAAAAACCAUCCACUCUGUGAAACUUAAAUCGGUGGAGGAUGAGAGUGCCCAGAAGCCCUCUGAUGCAUUACCUCUCCCUCUGUACCUAAUCAAUGCUCUCUGCUUUACCGUUUUCUUUUAUGUUGUUUAUUUUCUGCUCAGCCGCUGGCGUGAGAAGAUUCGCACAUCUACCCCUCUACAUGUCGUUGCUCUCUCCGAAAUUGCUGCUAUUGUUGCUUUCGUUGCUUCCUUCAUUUACCUACUUGGCUUCUUUGGUAUUGACUUUGUUCAGUCCCUGAUAUUACGCCCUCCUACAGAUAUGUGGGCUGUGGAUGAUGAUGAGGAGGAGACGGAGGAAGGGAUUGUACUCAGGGAAGAUACCCGGAAAUUGCCAUGUGGGCAAGCUCUCGAUUGCUCUC
rnacentral:misc_RNA from 1 species